rnacentral:rRNA from 1 species
CAAUAGCGUAUAUUAAAGUUGUUGCAGUUAAAAAGCUCGUAGUAGGAUUUCUGGUGGGAGCGAUCGGUCUGGCGCUUAGCGCGAGUACUUGCAUCGUCUCCGGCCAUCCUUGGGGAGAGUCUGUCUGGCAUUAGGUUGUCGGGCAGAGGAUCCUCAUCGUUUACUGUGAAAAAAUUAGAGUGUUCAAAGCAGGCUUAUGCCGUUGAAUAUAUUAGCAUGGAAUAAUAAGAUAGGACUUUGGUACUAUUUUGUUGGUUUGCGCACCAAAGUAAUGAUUAAUAGGGACAGUUGGGGGUAUUCGUAUUCCGUUGUCAGAGGUGAAAUUCUUGGAUUUACGGAAGACGAACUACUGCGAAAGCAUUUACCAAGGAUGUUUUCAUUAA